ACGUGAGAUAGAGGUUGCAAUACUUAUGAGUAUUCUAAUGGAGACACAGAGAUGUCUAUGAAAUUGGAUGAAAGGAAGUGUUGCCGAAAUUGAUAAAUUUCUCUGCAUUUAUCAAUUGGGGCUGUUUUCGAAUAGAAACAGAACUGUCAUAUGUACAGACAUGUACGUAUGAAGAGCUAUCUACAAA
rfam:Bacillus cereus Rock4-18 chromosome, whole genome shotgun sequence.